rnacentral:rRNA from 1 species
ACUCCUACGGGAGGCAGCAGUGAGGAAUAUUGGACAAUGGGCGCAAGCCUGAUCCAGCCAUGCCGCGUGUAUGAAGAAGGCCCUAGGGUUGUAAAGUACUUUCAAUAGUGAAGAUAAUGACGGUAACUAUAGAAGAAGCUCCGGCUAAAUUCGUGCCAGCAGCCGCGGUAAUACGGAGGGUGCGAGCGUUAUCCGGAUUUAUUGGGUUUAAAGGGUCCGUAGGCGGGUUAAUAAGUCAGUGGUGAAAUCCCAUCGCUUAACGAUGGAACUACCAUUGAUACUGUUAGUCUUGAAUGAGGGUGCAGUGGUUGGAAUGUGUAGUGUAGCGGUGAAAUGCAUAGAUAUUACACAGAACACCGAUUGCGAAGGCAGAUCACUAACCCUAAAUUGACGCUGAGGGACGAAAGCGUGGGGAGCGAACAGGAUUAGAUACCCUGGUAGGCUCUGCU